CCUCUCCCCUCAAUAGCAGCCCUUUCUCAAAAUCUCAGGUUACUUUGCUUAAAGAGUUCUCAGCCCUAUAGUUUCUGCCCUUGUCUCUGCCUCCAGCUCCUUAAGAGCCACCCAGCCCCAGCGAUUGGAUUGGGCAGCCCGUCUUGACACACCACUGUGCCGAGUGCUUGAGGACGUGUUUCAACAGAUGGUUGGGGUUAGUGUGUGUCAUCACACUCGAGUGGGGAUUAGGGGAGAGAGGCAGCCUUGCUGGAGCUGUGUGGUCUUCCCCAAGUGCGAGCUUGCAAGCAAAAGAAGAACUACCUAGCUCUGGGGGAGAAGAGAGAGGGAGGAAUCGUUUCCAGCAGCUCGGAGGGGAAAAAAUAAAACCCCACACUUGGUUCAGAUCUUCACACUAA
rnacentral:lncRNA from 1 species